rnacentral:lncRNA from 1 species
CUCGGGGGUGGAGCGGCUGCGUGGGUCAGGACGGGGCUGUGCAGAAGACUCAAGAUGAAAUGAUGACCAUUCCCCAUCACAGCAGAACACUUCUCUGACUUUGCAGACUGUAUUUACAACGCGGAAUGUGUUCUGGGAAGAAACAACAGAAAAGCUGGGAGUUGAAUAUCGAACUUCAUGUCUUUAUCCUUGCUGUGAAGACAGACCUUCCACAUUGAGUGAAAAUGCCUGCGAGCACAGGCAGCACCUGGGUUCUGUGCAUGCCAGCACCUUUGCAUGCAGUUAUGCAUGCACAGUUCCACUGAGAGCAAGAGGAUUAGCUUUUGCUUUGCAAGAAUCUGAAUGGAAAUGAAGUUGCAGAACAGGCUCCCUGCACCCCAUAUUUUCAACAGACCAGAACUUCAGUUCUGCUUGUGGAGAAAAAUCAAAAGGCCUUUUGUGCUCUUCCAGUGAGGAUCCAAUAUCUGCAUGUUUGCCCCACCAAUACUUCCUUGGCUGGAGGCUCCCUUAAUCACCAUGUGGGCCACCAACACUGCUUUUUGCAGUCUGCCAAUGCUGUAUCACCACAGUCUGUAAGGCAGCAGAUUUGUGCAGUUCUGCCAUGCAAACUGUCUCCACCUAUCCUACGCAGAGAGGUCUGUGUUUCUCUGUAUUUUGCAAAGAAAUACAUCUCUCAGCUCAAAAUCAUUUUCCUUGGGGACAUUAGGGAAUGAUUCUUUCCAGCUGACCAGAUACUGGCUUUUCCAGGGCUGCAAUUCAGGAGACUGCUGCUGCAGUCCAAUUGCAUGAUUUUCAAUGCCAGACUAGCUCCCUAUAGGGCUUCCCCAAAUGUUUCAGGUAUUGCUGACUUAAUUGCUGAGAUACCUACUCACAUUGCUAC